rnacentral:rRNA from 1 species
AGUGAACGCUGGCGGUAGGCCUAACACAUGCAAGUCGAACGGCAGCACAGUAAGAGCUUGCUCUUACGGGUGGCGAGUGGCGGACGGGUGAGGAAUACAUCGGAAUCUACUUUUUCGUGGGGGAUAACGUAGGGAAACUUACGCUAAUACCGCAUACGACCUACGGGUGAAAGCAGGGGAUCUUCGGACCUUGCGCGAUUGAAUGAGCCGAUGUCGGAUUAGCUAGUUGGUGGGGUAAAGGCCCACCAAGGCGACGAUCCGUAGCUGGUCUGAGAGGAUGAUCAGCCACACUGGAACUGAGACACGGUCCAGACUCCUACGGGAGGCAGCAGUGGGGAAUAUUCGACAAUGGGCGCAAGCCUGAUCCAGCCAUACCGCGUGGGUGAAGAAGGCCUUCGGGUUGUAAAGCCCUUUUGUUGGGAAAGAAAAGCAGCAGGUUAAUACCCCGCUGUUCUGACGGUACCCAAAGAAUAAGCACCGGCUAACUUCGUG